UACAGCCACAUCACGUCGAAACACUAGUUCCCAUAUAAUCACUGAAGUUAAGCAAUGCUGAGCCUGGUCAGUACUUAGAUUGGUAACCACUUGG